UUUUUUUUUUGUGAAAUUUUAUAAUUCUUAUGUCCAAAGGCCCGCUUAUUAUUAUUUUGCAGAAAAUGUAUUUACAGAAAUACCGGAAAUUUGAUUGACUUGAAAUUUUGGGGGUGUGGGUCCCAUUAUGUUGGGCACACGUGUUUGAAUGUUAUGCUUCUGAAAUGGAUAAUACAGCUUUAGCUUUCCAAUUGUCAAUUGUGAAGCAUCAAUGGCCCACAUAUCUGGCAACUAAUUGGGGCCUACCCAAAUAAGAGAGGAGAAGAACCUUUCUUGGCAACAUUUAUACCUUUGGCAUCUUUAUAGGCCCAAAUAAAUUACUGCGACUAGUAUUCAUUAAUUCUUUUUCAAAAUAAUCUAAAUAACUGUCCGCUUAAUCGCUUAAAUUAAAUUAAUAUAUAUAUAUAUAUAUAUAUAUUAUAUAAUUAUGUAUAAUUUAUGUAUUUUUGAAAACAUAGCCCUUGAUAGAAAGUUGUAAAAAUUAGGAUUGUAGGUUCGGAGACAAGAGGCUAGUGGGAUAGUGUCUUGCUUUAGGCUGCUAGGGGCUCCAAUUGUGUUAUUAAUAGUACUUUUUUAGGAUCGAAAAGUUAGGCUAUAGUAGGUUUAAUGGCUCUGUAUGUACAUAUUAUUCUCUUGCGUAUGUGGUAUUGUGCCUUUGUUGAUGCUUAGUGUUAAUAUUUUGCUCUUUACUUUCUGGUUAUUGUAUUGUUGGUGUUAUAUGUUAAGAUUCUUUUGCUGCUACUGAUAUAUUGUCUUUUUCUUUCUUGAGCCAAGGGUUUAGCGGAAACAACUUCUCUACUCCUCUGGACUAGGGGUAAGGUCAGCGUACACACUAUUCUCCCCAGACCUCACAUCUGAGAUCCUAUUGAGUUGUUAUUGUUGUUGUUGUUCUUUUAUGUGUGUCAUUUAAAAACAGUAAAUUCGACCGCCUAUUAUAAUAUUCCAAUACUUUUUAUCUCUUUGCCAAUUUUUAUGGGAUGAGGGUAUUUGGAAAGAAGCUUUUUAACGCGUAGUAUUUGCAUGAAAAUCAUUUUUAUACACGAGAUCUAUGCCAAUAACUAUAUAAUAAGGGAGAAGAUAAGUUUUUAUUGUGUUUGCGUUAAUACAAUAAAUAUAUGACAUGUAUCUCUAUAGUUAGCACAUUCUUGAAUCAUUUUUAUCACCAUCCACCAAUCGUGAAUAAAUAAUAUUAUUAAUUAGUGUAAAUGUUAGUAUGAAUAACUUUGUUUUUUUUGAAGAAAGGAGAGGCUAAUAAGUUUGUUGAUGAGAUUUGAACUAUAUGGGGUCGUUUGGUAUGACGUAUAAGAAAGUAUAAUAUUUGUAUAAGAAUUUAAUACCAUCUUAAUACUUUGUUUGGUUAGUAAAUAUGAUAUAAAUUAUUCCGGAAUUAAAAUUAGUACCGGAAUAACUUAUACCUUGUAGAGGGUAGGGUAAUUUAUCGGGAUAACUUAAACUUUAUUUUUAGAAAUUAUGCAUUUGUCAUUUUUAGUACAAUAUACCAAAUAGUGAAUAACAAACAAUACCAAAAUAACUAAUCAUAGCAUAUCUUAUUCCGGCAUAAGUCAUAUUCAAAUCAAACGAUCCCUAUAUGUACGACAUUGGUGUGGACACAAAGCUAAAAUGCAAAACUAUUUAUUCUUCUUCCCUUCCUUGUGUUUAUUUUUUAUUUACUUAGUUAACGACGAGGAAGAAAAGGUUCAACUAACGUGUAUAUUAAUUAGUCAAGAUGGAAUUCGAACGAUGACACAACUAUUCUAACUGUGGUUAUAUGACUAUUUGUCUUUUUUUGAGCAGAGAAUUUAUUAAAAAUAAUUUUUUCACUUUUAUAAAAUUAGAAUAAGAUUUAUAUACACAGUAUCAUCUGAAACCUUAUUUUAUGGGAUUACAUUAAAUUUAUAAUUGUUUUUAGUUAUAUGGAAACUUGGAUGUACCAUUAAGGACGUCAGGAACUUAAUUAUUUUGACAAAUAAAAUAUAUUUCCUCCGGUUUAAAAUAAGUAAUUUUUUUAGUUAUUUUCACAUAUAUUAAGAAAUUCACCUUUUAAUAUUAAUUAGCAUUGAAAUUGACAAUAUUAACAUUUAGUAUCUCUUCACAUAAACACUCCUAACACAUACUCCAAUAUUAAUUACUCCAAGGGCAAUAUAGAAAAAAAUAAUUAAUUCAUUCCUAAAGUCUAAAAAAAUCACUUAUUUUGAAGUAGAAAAGACAAAAAAAUUAUUUAUUUUGAUGCAGAAGGAGUAGUAUACUCUUCAACAUAAUAGUUGUUUAUCCCACAUGUUUAUUUAUAAUCCAUUUAUUCGGUAUAGACUAAUUAAACCAUCCAAAUACAAGAGCAGCCCCACCGGUUUGACUAGGCUAAAGCAAGGAAAAAGUUGGUAAGAGUAAUAAUUACGUUUUGGCUCAAAGGAAAUUUGGAACAUUUGCAUAAUGAGUCUAAUGCUGCUUAUUUCUUCUCUAGAAUUCAUAAUUUCAUAUAUAUAUAUAUAUAAAUUUCAAUGGAUCUUUAGAUAAACAAAAAGCUCGGUUAGUAGCAAAAGGAUUUUCUCAAAAAUAAAAUAUAGAUUAUUUUGAUACAUUUGCAUAGUGAUUAGAAUUUCUUCCAUUCGAGUUUUAUUCCCUUAGUGUAAAUUCAUAAGUUUUUUAUCCACCAAAUGGAUGUCAAAACUGCUUUUCUAAAUGGUGAUUUAGAAGAAAAAAUUUAUAUGGUUCAAACUAAAUGUUGUGUCAUUUUUGGAUAAGAAAAUAAAGUUUGUAAAUUAGUUAACUCUCAUUAUAGCCUUAAACAAGCUCUUAAGCAGUAAUAUGGGAAAUUUGAGUCUUACUGAGAGAUAGUUUUUCUUCAGUGGAAGUGAAUAAAUACGGUUAUUCUAAGGUAGUAGACAAUGAUUCUGUGAUAAUAUAUUUGUAUGUUGAUGGCAUGCUUAUAGUUGGUAUAAGUUUAAAUAUUGUGUAAAGUACUAAAUUAUUUUAAUCCGCUAAUUUUGAUAUGAAAGAUCUAGGUGAAGUAAAUACAAUAUUGAGAGUUAAAGUUAUAAGGAGUAAAAAUGGAAUAAUGUUGUUACAAGAACGAUACGUUGAGAGGCUUCUUAAGAAGUUUGAAUAUUUUAAUGUCACGUGUAUGAGCACUCCUUCUGAUGCUAACUCUCAGUUGAAAAAGAAUAAUGGUGGCCCGGUUGUUCAGUCUAAAUAUGUUCAGAUUAUUGAGAGUCUGAUGCAUUUACAAGGCAUUAUAUAACCUAUGUUGUGUGUAGACUGAGUAGAUAUAUUCAUAAUCUCAGCAGAGAGUAUUGGUCUACAUUAGAUAUACUAAUAAAAUAUUUGAGAGGAACCAUGAAUUAUGGUAUCCUAUAUAGUGGAUUUCCUUCUACUUUAGAAGGGUACAGUGAUGCAAACUGAAUCUCUGAUUCAGAUGAGACAGAAUCCACUAGUGGCUAUGUAUUCACCGUUGGUGGUGGUGCAAUAUCAUAUAUAUAUAUAUUUAUAUACGAACUCUAGCAUAUUAUGCUGGACUGGUAUACUUUGCUGACUCCUGUAUAAUAUGCGGGAGACUGGAGCACCGGUGCUCCAAACUCCAGUAUAUUAUACAGGAGUCAGCAUACUUGCUGGAACUUCAGUAUAUUAUGCGGGAGUUCCAGCAUAAGUAUGCUAGAACCAGUAUAACUAUGAUGGAACUCUCGUAUAAUGUGCGGGAGUUCAAGUAUAACUAUGCUGGAACUCCCGUAUAAUAUGCGGGCGUAUUUUAUGAAUUUUGAACAGUGUUUUCGCUCAAAUUUAUCUUUACAUGAAAAGUGGCUAAAUUUCAAUUACUUUUAAAACUGAGCUAUUUUUGAAUGACAAGUUGUUGAUCUUACUAUUUUUAAAUUUUUUUUCAUAUAUAUAUAUAUAUAUAUAUAUAUAUAUAUAUAUAUAUUCUGAAAUCUGUUGACACUCAUAUUUCAAAAAAAGUGAAUAAUGCACUUAGUGGAUAUUGAGUUAUUUACCUAAAAAUAUAGUGAUCAAUUCUCACUUAAUACUUUUUUCUCCUUUUAUUUAGUGGUGCACCUAUAUUUUAGAAAUAGUAGACACUAUGCAUUUUUGCUUCUUUUCUUAUUUGGUGUCCAAGGCGUUAGCCACGGGAAAUUGUAUUUAAUUAUUUUCCAAAAACUUCAACCUUUUAGGUGUAUGAAACCAAAAAUUCAAAAAACCUAUGUUUCUUGAAUGCAUGGGACUUUCUAUCGGGUCUCAUGUUAUGCCUUGUUAAUUUGACUAAGAUUUCCCUUUUACUACUACACAUAAGAGUAGUUUUAAGUUUUAUGUACUCAAAUUGCGUAAAAUACUUAUAUAGUUAGAUUAUUUAUAAGGUGAUUACUGUGGCAAUAGUUUAAACUUUUGUUGACAAAUGUCUUGAAUAAGAUUAUGUGGAAGAUUUCUAGAGGAGAUAAAUGACAAGAUGUAUGCAAGAAAAAAUUGACAAAUGGCAAGAGAAUUGACAAAUGUCAAGAAACUUGACAAAUGGCAAGAGAGUCUUAUGCUUUUAUGCCUAUAAAAUGGUCCUCCCUUAAGCCAAUUUGCAUAAUCAUACAUAUUUUAUACGUCUCUCUUUUUCCUUCCAAAUUUCUUUUUUAUAUUAUUUAAUUAAUAUUACACAUAUUAGUUGGUAUUGCCUUUUUCUUUCUAACUGGAUUUGUAUGAUAUUUAAUUUGGUUGAUUCAUAUAUCCUCUAAAUAAAAUGGAGAUAGGCUUGUUUAAUCUUGGAAAAAUAUUUUACAUUGCGAAAAUAGUUUCUUAGGACAGUGCCUAGCACGACUCGAACCAAUUCGUGUGUAUACUUACAAAUAAUAUAUUAUUGCAGUAUUAUAGUUAUUAUUUUCCGAUGUCAUAUCACUACAAUCUAAGAAACUAUGGCAAGUAAUACUAUUGCGGAAAUUUUUUAUGGUGCUACCAAUUCUGGUGUUGUCUCUACUGCUACUGUUCCAGCUGUCCUCCAAGAUAUCCAUGGUGUUGCAAAUACGCUAUUGCAUCCACAACUUUGGCAAACAUUAAUGUCCAAACACAUGUAUGUGAACAGACAUGGUUACAUAUCUAAUGCUAAUAUUAGAAUCUUCAAGAAAAAUACACCUUAAUGCUAUUGUAGAGUUGGGAUAAAUAAAAAUCUCGCUAAGUCAAAAUUAAAUUUGAGUAAAGAGGAUAAUAUAAUUAUUGUGGUCAUUUUCCAAAUAAACAAUGUGGCCAGUAUGGGCACAUUUGUAAUUUUGUCUUAUACCUAAAUUGAGGAAGUAGAAAAAUUUAUUUAUCUUGGUGAUUCGAGAACGUCUCGUGUUCUUGGGAAAGGAAAAAUUCUUCUCAAACUCACAUCUGGUAAAACUCUAGCAUUGAAAUUUAUUUAUCUUGGUGACUCAAGAACAACACGCGUUCUUGGAAAAGGAAAAAUUUUUCUCAAACUCAAAUAUGGUAAAACUCUAGCAUUGAGUGAUGUAUUGCUUCCUAAUAUCCAAACCAAUUUGGUUUCCGUGGAGUUAUUAGGAAAAGUUGGAGUGAAGGUUUUAUUUGAAAAUAAUGAGAUCGUAUUGACCAAAAAUGAUAUUUUGUGGGCAAUAGAUAUUGUAAUCAUGGUUCAUUUGUGCUAAAUAUUUCCGAUACUAGCAGUAAAAAUGCAUCUUCUUCUACUUAUAUGGUUGAGUCAAUUUCUUUAUGACAUGCUAGACUAGGAUAUGCGUGUAUAUAAAGAAAAUGCAAUCGCUAGGAUUAAUAUCUGAUUUAGACACAAAUAAUAUUAACAAGUGUGAAAUAUGUGUUGAAGCUAAAAGUACUAGAAAGACAUAUUUUUCCGUAAAUAGAGAAACUAAAUUGUUAUCUUUAAUUCACACUGAUUUAGGCGACUUAAGCAGACUAUGACUAGAGGUGGUAAAAUAUGAAUUAUUAUCUUUAAUUCACACUGAUUUAGGUGACUUGAAGCAGACUAUGACUAGAGGUAGUAAAACAUAUUAUGCGGCUUUUAUUGAUGAUUGUUCUAGAUAUACUAAGUUGUAUUUACUUAGAAAUAAAGAUGAUGCUUUUAAUGUUUUAUUUCUUAUAAAACUGAGGUUGAAAAUCAACUUAGUAGAAAAAUCAAGAUAAUUAGAUCAGAUAGAGAUGGAGAAUAUUUAUCUUUAAAUAAAUUUUGUGAAAAUAAUGGAAUUAUUCAUGAAGUAACUCUGCCUUAUUCACUUGUGUCAAAUGGAGUAGCUGAAAGAAAAAAUAGAACAUUGAAAGAGAUGAUAAACUCUAUGUUAGUUAGUUCUAAUGCUCCUGAUAAUUUGUGGGGUGAAGCUAUUUUAUCUGCAUGUCACUUACAAAAAUACCACAUAGAAGAGCAGGCAAAACUCCUUAUGAGUUGUGGAAGGAUUACAAACAUAACUUGAAAUAUUUGUGUGGGGGUGACUUGGUAAAGUUCUUUUGCCCGAACCUAAAAAGAGAAAAAUAGGUUUUAAAACUGGUGAUCGCAUGCUAAUUGGAUAUGUUGAACAUAGUGCUGCAUAUAGAUUCCUUGUUUUAAAAAGUGAUGUGCUUGGUUGCAAUACUAUAAUUGAGAUAAAGAAUGCUGGGUUCUUUAUAUUUAUCUAUUAUCUGAUAAAAUUUCUCAUACACCCGUUGAAAUAAAUAAUGAAAUUACUUCUAAUGAGGAACUGAGAAGGAGCAAAAGGCCUAGAAAAGAAUAUUUUUCUUAUGAAAAUAAUUUUCAAACUUUUCUUGUCGAUAAUGAACCAUCAAAUUAUUUUGAAGCGAUACCUUCUUCAUAUGCUAAAUAUUGGAAAGAGACAAUAAAAGUUGAAAUUGAUUCCGUUAUAAAAAUAAUUAUAUCUUCUUUAUGCUAAAUAUUGGAAAAAGGAAAUCAAAUUUGAAAUUGAUUCUAUUAAGAAAAAUGAUACAUGAAUUUUAACUAAUUUACCUCCUGGUGCAAAAUUCAUUGGUUGUAAAUGGAUUUUCAAAAGCAAAUUUAAUCCCGAUGUAUAUAUAGAUAAAUAUAAAGCUCGGUUAGUAGUAAAAGGUUUUUCUCAAAAAUAAAAUAUAGAUUAUUUUGAUACAUUUGCACCAGUGACUAGAAUUUCUUCUAUUCGAGUUUUAAUUGCCUUAGCUUCAAUCGAUUAUUUUGAUACAUUUGCACCAGUGGCUAGGAUUUCUUCUAUUCAAAUUUUGAUUGCCUUCACUUCAAUCCGUAAGUUUUUUAUCUACCAAACGGAUGUGAAAAUCGCUUUUCUAAAUGGUGAUUUAGAAGAAGAGAUUUAUAUGGUUCAACCUGAAGGUUAUAAAGUUAAUAAAUUAAUUAAAUCUCUUUAUGGUCUUAAACAAGCUCCUAAGUAGUGGUAUAAAAAAUUUAAACAAGUCUUACUGAGAGACAGUUUUUCUUCAGUUGAGAUGGAUAAAUGUGUUUAUUCUAAAGAGGUAGACAAUGAUUAUGUGAUAAUAUGUCUGCAUGUUGAUGACAUGCUUAUAUUUGGUACAAAUUUAAAUAUUGUGCAAAGUACAAAAUUAUUUCUGUCUGCUAAUUUUGAUAUGAAAGAUUUGGGUGAAGUAAAUACAAUAUUGGGAGCUAAAGUUACAAGGAGUGAAGAAUAUGAAAAAUCUGGGUGAAGUAAGUACAAUAUUGAGAGUUAAAGUUAUAAGGAGUGAAUAUGAAAUAAUGUUGUCACAAGAACAUUGUGUUGAAAGACUUCAUAAGAAGUUUGAAUAUUAAUGUCACAUCUAUGAGCACUCCUUUUGAUGCUAACUCUAAGUUGAAAAACAAUAAUGGUGACCCAGUUGAUCUGCUCAGAUUAUUGUGAGUCUGAUGCAUUUAAUGAAUUUUACAAGGCCUGAUAUAGCAUAUGCAAUGUGUAGACUGAGUAGAUAUACGCAUAAUCCCAACAGAGAGCAUUUGUAUGCACUAGCUAGACUAAUGAAAUAUUUGAGAGGAACCAUGAAUUAUGGUAUCCUAUAUAGUGGAUUUCCUUCUACUUUAGAAGGGUACAGUGAUGCAAACUGAAUCUCUGAUUCAGAUGAGACAGAAUCCACUAGUGGCUAUGUAUUCACCGUUGGUGGUGGUGCAAUAUCAUGAAAAUCAACUAAACAUACGAUCAUUGCUAGAUCAACUAUGGAAUCAGAGUUUGUAGCUCUGGAGUUAGCAGGUUCUGAGGCUGAGAAAAUUCUUAGCUAAUAUCCCUUUAAUAAAUGAUGUAUUGCCUCCUGUGACUAUGCAUUGUGAUUGUCAAGAGGCAAUAGCUAUGGCAAAGAAUAAUUCUUAUAAUUGUAAAAGUAGACACAUGAAAUUGAGACACGAUGUCAUAAAAUAGCUGUUCAGAGAUGGAAUAAUUUCCAUUGACUAUGUGAAGUCAGAGAUAAAUUUGUUCGAUCCUCCGACUAAACCUAUGGAAAGAAAAUUAAUCCUUCAAACCUCAAAAGAGAUGGGUUUAAGGCCGACAUGUUGUCAAUAGAGAUGAUAACCCAACCUAUGCGAUUGGAGAUCCCAUAAAGUAGGUUCAUAUGGGUAAUAACAAAUCGAUAUUGGCACUGAUGCACUAAAAGAGAGUGCUUGACUGCUACUAAUUGAGAGGUUAUGUUAUAACUCAUAAUGAAAUUCAUAGUUCUUAUGAAUGGUGUAUUUAAAAGCAGUAUACACUUGAUGAAUUCACCUAUAUGAUUAUCUAUUAUUAAUGAAAUUCAUAGUUCUUAUGAAUGGUGUAUUUAAAAGCAGUAUACACUUGAUGAAUUCACCUAUAUGAGAGUGAAGUGGGGCGCUCCUAUGAGAUUUUUUGGCCAACUCUCUAGAGCUCUCAUGAAUAACCAGGAACGCGCAUGUCCUAUUGGCCGCAAAAUCGCAUUGAACAAUAAAAUUAUCGGGGGUAAAAAUGUUAUUAGUAAAAUAUCUGACUUACAAUAAGAAUUAUUCGUUCAUAGAAAUAUUAUAUUUUCACCAGUAAUUCACUGAGUUAAAUUUUAUUGGUCUAAGUUUGGUUCAUAGUCAAGAAGACACCAAACCUAUUACAUUUGGAUCAUGCAAAUCCAGCAAGUCUAUUUCAAAAGGUCUUUAAAAUAGUGGGGGACUCUGGCAAUAUUUUAAACUCUUGUUCACAAAUGUCUUGAAUAAGACUAUGUGGAAGAUUUCUAGAAGAGAUAAAUGGCAAGACGCAUGCAAAACAAUUGACAAAUGGAAAGAGAAGCCUUAUGUUUUUUUGCCUAUAGAAUGGUCCUCCCUUAAGCCAAUUUGCAUAAUCAGACAUAUUUUAUACGUCUCUCUCUUCUUUCUUCCAAAUUUCUUUUCUAUAUUAUUUAAUUAACAUUACACAUAUUAGUUGGUAUUGCUUUUUUCUUUCUAGCUGGAUUUGUAUAAUAUUUAAUUUUGUUGAUUCCUGUAUCCUUUAAAUAAAAUAGAGGUAGACUUGUUUAAUCCUUGGAAAACAUUUCACAUUGUUGAAAUAGUUUUUUAGGACAGUGCCUAGCACAAUUCAAGCCAAUUCAUGUAUAUGCUUACAAAUAAUAUUAUUGCAGUAUUAUAGUUAUUAUUUUCCGGUGUCAUAUCACUACGAUUACACAUAAAUUUCUAUAAUAUAUGUUAUCUAGUAUAAAAAAGUCUUUAAAUAAUCAGUGAAUAUAACUUAAAUCGUAUGUAUAAAUGCAAUAAUAUCCAGAGAGAGUUGGUUUGAUAACAUUUGGCUUGAGUUUUUCUCGCAAAUAAAUGUUGGAAAAGACCUCCUUGAUUGACAACUUAACUGGCUUGUGCACUACAUCUAGAUUGUUAAUUGUAGAGUAAUAACAUAUUCUUCGAUUCUCUAAAAUCAGUUACUAGAUGUUUUCUAGUUUAUCUUGUCAGUAGUAAAUGAUAUUUGAUCUGUUCAUGGAAAAAUAUACAGCUUAGUAAUAUAGGGUAUGCAAUAAAUGAAGAGGGAAAAGAAUAAGUUUUAUUAGUAGCAUGCUGAAAAAAGAUAAAAGAAAUAGUAUAUUCAAAUGAAAGCAGCUACUGUAUAGGUCAAAAUAUGGCCACGUAAAUUAUCGUUAAAAGAAAUGGUAAGCGGUCGACUAAGUCGUAGUAAUAUCCAUAAGGCAUAUAACAACGAGUAUCUCGGCCACUGUCGAGUUCAGCUAUCAGAAAGCUUGUACGACGAGGCAUGCGUCGUGACAUUCUAUCGACAGUCACCACUGGUAUACCAGUUAGAGAAUAACAUCAUUAAAAUGCAAGAGUGCCAAAGAAAAAGGUUAGGUUACCGAGGUAAUAACAAACGAGGUCCUUAGUAAAUAAAAGUUCGCAUAACAUCAUUCCUACUCCCAUAAACAAAAAAUUGAAAUCUCACUCCACCAACAGUUGAUGCAUGAACCUAGAAAAAUAAAGCUGCAAUAUAGACAGUACACAUAAUGAGCAAAUAAACAGCCAAUUACUCAAAUUCAAUACGAACCAUGGCAAGAAAGAAAAUAAAAAAGAUAUUGAUGUAUUGUUGAUAUCCAUAUUCAGCUCACAGUACUAAACAGAAGUUGAAAAAUAUGGUAUUGGUAGAAAUUUACAAGGAGAAUAGCAAUUUACAAGGAGAAUAGCAGGAAAGAACUCAAGCAACCAGUUAAUUGAUAAAUGAGAGAGGGUGCAACAAUGCAAAUAAACUUCCAAAUAGAUUACCCCUUCUGGCGGUACAGGGUUUCUGUUGAACUUGGAACCACCAGGAGCCCAUGGAACUGCUCAUCAACACAAAGAAGAACAAGAUACUGUUAGAAGUCCAGAAUAGCAGUAAGAGUUGCUGAGAGAUUUUCUCCGUCCAAUUUUACGUGAUAAGAAAAAGAAGUUUCUGUCCAAGACAAUCGAAAUGAGCAUGUGAGAGUAAACAAAAUAAAGUUACUUUUUUCUGUUUAACAUAUUAGAUCACCCAACAAUAUCUGACUUUAUGCUUCUCUUCUUUUACUGCUGGAGUUACUAAUCCUCUUUUUGUUUUUGUUUUUUUUCUCCUUUCCUUUCCUUCCCUGAGCCGAGGGUCGAUUGGAAAUAGCCUCUCUGCCCUUUCGGGUAGGGGUAAGGCCUGUCUACAUAUUACCCUCCCCAGACCCCACUUUGUGGGACUAUACUGGGUAUUUGUUGUUGUUAUGCUUCUCUUCCUUUAGUCUAGAUGUACUAGUAAAUGUUUAAAUAUGGUUUUAUGGCUGUUAACAAAUAAAGCAUUGUACUAAGGAAGAAAAUCAGAUAGUCCAUCAAGGAAAAGUAUAUUGCAGGCAAGACAAGAAUUUACGAGAUCUCAAAUUAGUUAGCAUCUUAUAAGCAGAAAUCUUAGAAACUAUCCACUUCUAAACAUAUAACUUUCUGCCAGAAAUAUAGUUUUGGUUAUAAGAAAAUUGCAGUCUUUUCCUCAUAAUUUUGAAAAGUUAUCCUCCCAGUAACCAAACAUCAACAACCUCCAACUGUUGGAAGCAUAUCACAUAAAAAAGCACAAACAAGCAGAUUUGGACACAGUCCUAUGCAAGCACAAACUUAAGAAAAUGAUUCGAGUUGAAAACUUAUUCCUCAUACACUAGGGUCUCAAAUGCCAUCAAUUUAUGGAAUUUCCUUCAAAGGGACAAAAUCCAACUUGCCACACGAAUUAAGAGCUCGCAAAGGAAUUUACCAAUGUAGGGAUCAGGGUGCCGCCACUUGUUAUAGCUUGCUUCACCAUCAGCUAUAAGUCUAUCAAUAGUUUCAACAUCUUCCUGGUUGUCAACAAAGUAAACAAAAAAAGAAUAUCAAAUUACAGAUACAAGUGCGAUCAGAAUAGUACAUUCCUUCAGUUGCACUAAUGAAUGCCACUCCUGCUUAUACCUUUCACCAUGAAAUCAGACAAUACUAAGACAAGCAAGUAGAUUUGUUUCUGUCUUGGACAACAUUUUCCUUCAUUAUAAAAGUUUCUGAAUAAAUAUUUGAAAAUAGUAAAACUAAAGCAGAUGACCAAUUUCUUUUUUGUUAUGUCUACUUCACUUAGAGAAAUCAGUUCAUAUAACAAUAAGGACAUAUACAUUUUUUCCUUUUCAAUAAGUAAAAAGAAGUUGUAGACCUUAAUCCCUACAUUGAGCUGAAGACAAGUGCUUACACCAAAAACUGGUAAUUUUUAGCAUACAAACGCAUAAAGAGAGAACUGCAUGCUAAGAGACAAGAUCAUUUCACAUGGACAAGUCACUUUAUAUGACAAUAAGGACAUAAGUGUGUUUGAUAGAAGCAAGAUACUCAUUUUCUACUGAUUUAUUACCAGAAAAUAUUUUCCACCAAGGACGGCUCCACGGCAAAGCGAGUGAAGCCGGCGCUUUAGGCCCCAAAAAUUACAUUACAUCAUUUAUAUACUAUUUCAUCAAAGGUAGAUAAUGACAAUUUUUGUUAUUCAUAAGAAUUUAAAUAUUCAACUGAAAAUAUUAAUAUGGUUAUUCAAAACUCAAAAAAUAUUAGAAAAAAUAAUUAACAACAUUGCAUCUUAAGCUAGAAAAUAAGCUUCAAACUAAGUUAAAGACUCUUAUAAAAGUUUGGUUUUAGGCCUCAAAUUUAUUGAGUCGCCCCUGUUUUCCACCAAUAGCAGAAAAUGACUUUUGCAGAACAUUUCCCUUCACGAAUAUCCCAACUCUCCAUAUCACUUGUUUAAGACAUUUUUUUAAUCUUUAAUACUCAAGAAAUUCAGCAAAACACUAUCCUCGUACUCUUUUCGUUCACGUUGUAUGAGUAUCAAAUGACACUUACUUUGAGAAUCAUCUGUCAACUUACUUCUAGUUUAUACCCAAUAUAACCCCGAAAAAUGACGCAGAAAAUGAUUUUUCAAGGUAAACAGUUUACUCCAUUCCAAAUGCUAUGGGUCCGUCUUUCUUCUUUUUGAUAUGUAAAAAAAUUAAAGAUAUAGACCUUACUUCCUACAAUGAGCUUAAACAAAUUUGUUUCUACCAAAAAUAUCACAAAUUUUGGCAUAUAAAUACCUAAAAAUGGUAACAUAACGUGUCAAAAAUCAUAAAACAUCGAUUUAUUGGAAAAAUAAAUUUUAAAAACGAAGGAGAAUGAGGUCAAACCACGUGUUUGUUGGCCUCAAACCUCUCCCUGAGCGCAUCGGCCUGAAACCAAAAAAACAGAAAAUUAACAACUUAAUGAGAAAGUCAAUGAUAUGAAGAAAUGUGGAGAUCGAAUCAAUGGUAGAGAUUACAUCAGAAUAAAAGAGGUGACGAUGAACGGCCCAAUUGAGAGUGUCUCUGAGAGCACGCCUGUAGAGGAUCCUCACUCUCUCCUUCUGUGCUGCUCUUCUCGCUACGUACCACGCUGAUGCUACUCCGCUCAUCGCUUCUCUUUCUCCCUCCUAAAUCUUUCACAGUGCUCUCCGUUUCUUCUCUUUGCUUUGAAUUUCCCCAUGUAUGCUGGGGCUUACGACAUCGUUUUGAUCCCUUUUUUUUUAGGGGUGCUUUCAUAAAUGAGAGUUAAUAAAUGAAAGUUAAUUUUGCAAAAAUAAAAAAUUACCAUUUUUUAUUAUGUUUUGUUAAAAACAUACUUUAUUGUAUGUUAGACGGCCUACAUUAUAUUCUUGGGGUACGGAGAUUCUACGACUCAGUCUAAAUAUAAUAUACUUUGUGUAUCGGACUGUUAUUGCUUUAUUCAAAUUAGAAUUACUCCUCCGGUCAGUCAUAAUUUAUGUAAAUUUUUUUAAAAAAAUAUUUAAAACUUGUGGUUAAAAAAAUCUAUAUAGAUAUUUAUGUAUUAUCUCAUUAAGGAUUAAAGGUUGAAAUUUAAAUUAUCUAUAUUAUAUUAAAAGGAGUGUAGUGAAGCAUGUGGUUAAGCCAAGUGGCGUAUUGAGAAAAUACCACUUGGCACAUUUAAGACAUAAUCUAGAAAAUAAAUUUAAUCUAUAUAUCUAUAUCCAUAUCUAUAUCCAUAUCUAUAUCAUAUAUAGAUCCAACCAUCAAUUUUCCUUCCAUAUUAACUUAAAACAUGAAAGUAAAAAAAUAAUUAAAAAUUCAUAAUAAUAAAACAAUAAAUAAAAAUAUAUUAGCAAGAUAUAGAUGGGAAUAAAUAUGACUAUUUGUACUCUGGGCAAAUUAAAAUAUAAAUAAAGUAAAUAAAUUUAUUUAAGAUAUUAAGGAUGAUGACUUUGAAAAUUGAAAAAAAAAUUGAAGUAGCACAUUUCUUUACAUAAAAUAGAAAAAAUUAUAUAAAAAAAGUCACUUGGCUUAGUAUUAUUUAAAGUUAAUAUGUAUUAGUUUUUAAAAGAUAUUAAUUUAUAUGAUUUAAAGUUAAUACAUAGUCACUAUUUUGGUGAUAGAUUUUAUUGAAGAAAUAACAAAAUCUCACAUUCAAAAGGGAAAGAUUAUCGCUAUUUAUGAUAAAUAAUAUUGACAAUUUUAUCUGAUUCAUAAUUGAUAUAUUGAUUUCUUAACAAAGAAUGAACCUUACUAAUACCAUAAUUACAGGGUAAUUAAAAAGCUAAUUAUAUUUAUCCAUAUUUAACUCCUAGCAGGCUUUUAAAGCAUAACAAUGCCUUAAUUAUAGGGAAAUUCAAAAUCAAUAAUAUAUUUUUUGAUCGUUUCUAAACCAAAUAUAUAUCCCACUUAAUUUGAAUUCGAACGGGAACAUAAUUAUCAUGCAAAAUUUAUAUAUAAACUAAAAGUGUCUGUAAUUACAUUGCCAUAAAGGACUAAUAUUAUAUGACAAAGAAUAUUCAUAUAAUAUUAUUCCUUAUAUAGAAAUUAGGAUAUUUACAUUUUGAAUAAUAGCAUAUAAGGGAUAAAUAUUAUAUGCUAAACAAUAUUCGUGACUUUUACCAUAUUGAUAUAUUAAACUAUUGACUAAAAAUAAAGUUUAUAUUUUGAAUAUAAAUCAUACUUAUUUGUAAUUAACAUUUAGUAGGCCUUUAUAACCAUUAGAAAUACGGUAAUUAUAGGGUAAUUCAAACACACUGAUAUAAUUUUUUAAAAGAAUUAUUUCUUAACAUGGAAGUGAAUAAUUUAUUGACAGUCAAACAACAAAUAUGGUAAAAUAAUAUUGUGAUUAAGAUUCACUCAACAUAAGCCAACGUGGAAUACUAUAUACUUAGAUUCUAACCUUGCAAUACUAUACGAACCUUCAGGUUAGUCUCUCAAUUUUUCUUCUUAUUUUUUCUACUUUGAAUAAUUUAGUUAAUAAAAUUAUGAUUUCUUCAAAGCUUUUUGGUUAGACUAAUAAAUUCAAUGCUUUUAUAGUUUUGUACUAGCAAAUAGUGCAAGUAAUAUUUGUUUGUCAAGAUGUAGUUUGUGAUGAGCUUAUAUGGCAUGCCACUGCGAAGGAAUGGUUUGAGACAACUCUGUUAUUUUGUUUUGAUGUGUCAUUUGUUCAGUCUAUUAGAGUAAGUUGUUGGUCUCCUACAAAUUCCACUACUAACAAGAAUAAAGUUUUAUAUCUUUCUUCAUGAGAGAUUUCUUCUCAGGAGUUGUGAUCAGUAUAACUUACCAAAGUGUUCUCCAAGCAAUGAAUACAAUGCUAAGGUUUGAGAUCGUGAAGCAAGAAGGUAUACUUAACAAACACACGCACACACACACACACACAUAAUAUAUCAAUGAUAUUUUCUUAAUCUAGCAUAUGCUACUUACUCAUAAGCUACAUUAAUAAAUAAAAAUUUAGAAUGACUUAUUUAAUCUCAUUUUAUUUAUAUUAAUUUUAAUUUAAAGCCGUCACUUUUUUUUCCUCAAUUUUUGGUUUUACUAUUACUAUUUUGUUGUGCUUUAGAAUUAACAUUACAUUUAUUUGUUGUUGUAAAUGUAACUAAGCAAGCUGAAGAUCCAUAGAUAUGAUAUAUAGAAAUAUUUCUCAAAUACGAAGUGAACAAGUGUCAUAGAGAACUUGAAAUACGAAAAAAAGUUUUACUAGGUUAUUAAGAUAUAUAGAGGGUCAAGAUGUGAUUAUUCAUUAUACAUUAUAUCGUAUCAUAGAAAACUUGAAAUACAAAAAGAAAUUUUACUAGGUUAUCAAGAUAUAUACAGGGUCAAGAUGUGAUUAUUCAUUAUACAUUAUAUCUUGAUUUUAAUAGACUAGGUGUUUUUAACUAUUUGAGCUAACAGUUAUAACAUAAACUAAUGAUGAAAUAUCCAUACGAACAAAACAAUAAAACAGUAUAUCGAAAACAUGUGAAAAGUUUUGAUUGCGUGAAAAAGUUCUCAUUAUGAAUGAUAAUGUAAAUCAAAUCGGUGGUAUAAAAAUAAUACCAAAUUGGUGAUAUAUAUAUAUAUAUAUAUAUAUAUAUAUAUAUAUAUAUAUAAAUGCAUUAUAUAUUUAUUAAAGCUCUGUAUCGUGAUUUUAAUAGAUUAGGUAUUUUUAACCAUUUGAGCUAACAGUCAGAACAUAAACUAAUAAUUAAAUAUCCAUACGAACAAAAUAAUAAAACAAUAUAUCGAAACAAUAAAAACAUGUGAAAAGUUUUGAUCACGUGAAAAAGUUCUCAUUAUGAAUGAUAAUGUAAAUCAAAACGACGGUAUAAAAAAAAUACCAAAUUGGUUAUAUAUAUAUAUAUAUAUAUAUAUAUAUAUAUAUAUUAAAUUUUCAUUCUUAACCCACUUCUUUAGACUAAUAUUUGUUGUAAGUAAAAUUUACUGUAAAAAUAAUAAAUAUCCACGCGCAAUGCGCGUGUAUAUAUACUAGUUCUAUAUAUAAAAGGUAUACUUCGUGGCAAACUAAAAAGAAAUAACACAUAAAUUGAGAGAGAAGGAGCACUACAAAGAUGUGGCAUUAGAUGAGUUAAUUGUAGCUUUUAGGUUUAGAGCCCGUUUGGAUUGGCUUAAAAGAAUAGCUUUUCAGUAAAAAUAUUGGGAUUGCCCAACUUAUUGCUUUUGCUUUGUUUUAAGCAGUUUUUAACUUAUUUUAAAUACUUUUUGACUUUGCCAAACACUGGUGUUUAACCAAAAAAUAUAAUUUGGUCAAAGUUUAGAAAGAAGAAAUCGGGUUACUAAUAAUCAAAGAGACCAAAAUAUAAUUGGCUUUCAAAGAAUAAAAUAAAGUAAUAAGAACUUGUUAUUUCUAUAUGAUAUCAAUAGUGUAUUGUGUGUCUACAAAUGAUAAAUCUUCCUCCUUUUAUAGUUGACAAGGAGUAACAGAUUAAUCUAAAUAAUAAAGGAGCAUUUAAUGAGACGUUACAUNNNNNNNNNNNNNNNNNNNNNNNNNNNNNNNNNNNNNNNNNNNNNNNNNNNNNNNNNNNNNNNNAGACGUUACAUAAUCAUUGCUAUUAAAUACUGAAUAACUAACGUAUCAGGUAUUUAAUAAUGAAUGUAGACUACUUUUUGUCAUCAUAUUCUUGUCUUUAAUGCGCUAUUUUAUCCGUUGAUAUUGAAUGACUUGAAUAGACACGAGACUCGUAACUAAGAUUCUCUCUCGUGUCUGUUUUCUUUUCCUCCACUUUGCAUGUUGUCUUCCGUGCCUUUUCAUCAUUUAUUGCUCUUUGACUGUUUGCCCAAUCCACGUGUCAUGCCACGUCAUCUUUAAUUCAAACUCAUUUUUCCCCAAUACAGAUAGUCCCACACUUCUCAUUUAUUUAUCAAUUAAAUAAUUAGGAAAUGGAUCCUAAAAAAGAAUUUUUGUCAAAAUUAACGCUUGUGUCAGUAUAGACGUCUCAUAUGUCUUUCUCAUUUAAUGCUCUAUACACAUAUCAUCUUCUGGUUGAACCUGCAGUUUUGUUCCCAUUUUUCUAGGCAUGUUCAACUUCCUCUGUUUACGAAGUGAUGGUUANNNNNNNNNNNNNNNNNNNNNNNNNNNNNNNNNNNNNNNNNNNNNNNNNNNNNNNNNNNNNNNNNNNNNNNNNNNNNNNNNNNNNNNNNNNNNNNNNNNNNNNNNNNNNNNNNNNNNNNNNNNNNNNNNNNNNNNNNNNNNCAUUGUUCUCUUCUUCAUCAAUUUCCAUCAAGCAUUCGUAUUUUCUUUCUUUCUUUCACUUCUAUUUACUUCAAAAUUAUCUUUCAAUGGAAUCUCCAAACCCUAACCCCAGAAAAGUUUUACUUCUCGAUCAAUUCCCUAAUGCACCUGCUCCUAUCAAACAUUCAAGAGGCAGAGGAGGAAGACCCUGAAGUAUGGGAUCUACACGUGGUGGCUCAACUGGUUCUGUACUUUCUUCUUCUGGUUCUGGAAUCAAAGGCUCCUCUUCCGAAACUCAAUCUUCGAAAGUUAAAGAAAUUUCAGACCCUUGUACAGAACCCACAGUCGAAGAAAUUAUACGAAAUGAUUUAUAUUUUUCAAGUGAUAAAGCAUCCCUUCAAAAACAAAUUGCAAAAUUGGAAAAGACUGAUCAUUAAUUAUACAAAAUGAUUUAUCUUUUGCAAGUGAUAAAGCAUCCCUUCCAAAACAGAUUGGAAAAUUGGAAAAGACUGAUCAUUAUCCUUCUCUUAUAACUGAACUCACAAUCCCACCAUUAGGAAAGAUUGCAACUGGAAGGAGAGCGUUCGUUUAUCAAUCCCUUCUAUAAACUAUAGAAUUUCAUCUUAUAAGAACGCGUAUUCCUAUGUUUAUACCUACCCCUUCACUUUGGGGUUUAAGCCUACCAUAGAUCCAGUUAUCAUUGAUUUCUGUAGAUUUGUCAAUAUUUGCUUAGCCCAGAUUGGACCUUUAGUUUGGAGGGAUGUAUCUUGUUUAAGGUUUUUGUCUAAUAAGGCAAAAGUUACUUUUACCCAUCUUAUCCAUUUAUACCACCCUAGUUUAUUACGCCAUGUGGUUUCUACCUAAACUGAAAGGAGUAAAAGAGUUUUGGUAAACGCUGAUGACGAUAAAGAUCGUGGGUGGUAUCUUCGUUACAUUGGUGUUCGCAUAGUAGAUUAUUGGGAGAAUCAAACAUUCCCUUCCCCGAGAUGUGAAAUUUUGCACGUAAGUUUCUGUUUUAGUUCGCACAGUGGAUUUAUUGGGAGAAUCAAACAUUCCCAUCCCCGAGAUAUGGAAUUUUGCACGUAAGUUUCCGUUUUACUUUUCUCGUACCUAUUUUAUGAAAUUUUGAUUUUCUCUUUAAAUUUACCCCCUUUUUGGUUUUUUAUAGCAACCAUGGGAAAUGUGGAACUCGUUCCCAAUUUUCGUGGUUGGGUAGACUCAAUUUUUAAAGUUGCUCCUAAGGAAGAUAGGACCUGAAAAUCUAUCUCCUCCUUACAUAGGUGGAUAGUGAAAACACACGGUAUAUAUUUCUUUUCAUGUAUGUUUUCUAGAUACGUAUAUUAAAUUUUGAUGAUGAACUUAAAUCCUUCUUUUUAUCAGGAUUUGGAAUAAAAGGGAUGGCAGCGGGCGUUGCUAUAGCCAUGCGUACAAUUGCCAACACCGCCCUUAGCUUAGACAAGGCUAAAACACUCUUAGCCAACAGAAAAGCUAUGAUAAUGGAAACUGAAACGUUGCUAUAGCCAUUCGUACAACUGCCAACACCGCCCUUGUCUUGGACAAGGCUAAAGCACUCUUAGCCAAAAGAAAAGCUAUGAUAAUGGAAACUGAUAACGAAGAAGAAGAUCAUACCUCUUUGGUAUCUAGACCAAGAGCUAUGAGACUUGUUGUUAUGGAUGAGGAAAUUGAAGAUUCUCCUGCCCGUACUUCUGCUGCAAUUACUUCUUAUUCAGUUACUUCCAUUCCCGAGCAUGUCUUAAUCCAAUCCGAUGAAGAUCUUGCUCCUAGAGACACGAAUAAAUCAGUUCACCGUCUCUUCGAGAGUGGCUUUGAAAGUGGGGAACUUGGCCCCGUUCUCAAUGAAAUUCCCUUAUCUACUUCUAUUCCUAUUUCUCCAGUUUCUUCUAUUUCUCCUUCAACCUUACCUGUUUCUUCUCCUUUGACACCUUUCACUAUUUUUACAACUUCUUCCUCUGUUCCAUUUUAAGCCCCCGUACCUAUUCCCUCAGCUCCUGUUCUGAUUUAUGCCGCUCUUUCACCAUUUUUACGACUUCUUCUCAUGUUCCUCUUUUAGCCCCAGUGACUAUUCCCUCAGCUCAUGUCUUGGUUUCUGCCGCUCCUAUUGUUUUCACCUCCUCUACUACUACUCCUUCCACAAUUCGAAGGUGCUUUUGGGAGCAUUGAAGAAUUGUAGUCUUCUAAGUUUCAACUUGAACAGCAAAAUUGGGCUUUAUCCUCUGAAUUAGGGAUUGCCACGGCUUCUACGAGCCAAGCAAAAAAGGAUAAAGAGAUGUUGAAGGAUUCUUUGUCAAAGGCUAAUGAAGAAAUCAAAGGAAUCAAAGCACUAAUGGAGAAAAAAGAAGAAUAUGCCAAAGAACUAGUGCAAUCUUUGAACCAGAAAUGGAGGUUUCUCAAGAAAAUUUUGACUUGCAAUCUGAGUUGGUCAAAGUUUUAGACAUGAUUGAUAAGAAUGAACAACCUACUGAAACUCCUUCUCCUGAUCAGGUAAUUGACAUCUCCUCUCAAACAAUCGAAACUCCCGGGUUGAAGAGCCUUUGAACUUAGAGUCAACAAUUGAAGUUAUUGAAGUUACAGUUCCAGUGACCGAGGGUAACUUAUCUACAACACAGUUUUUGGGAAUGAUAUCCCCGUGUCGAUUUCUUCUUUCGAAAAUGUCGAUACUUCAAUUUCAACUAAGACCGCCUCUAUUGCUACUCCUUUGGAAGUUUCUACCGAGCCUAAUGAGGCUGCGGCUUCUAACAUUCCAAUUUCCUCAGUGACCAAUGAAAAUGUUUAACCUCUUUUGUUUAUUUCUGAUGAUGUAAUUAAGUCCCCAGUUUCUAUAAUGGGGCAUCUGUUUCUUUUUAAAAAAAUGUACAGUAAUAGCUAAAUGUUUUCCCUUAGCUUUUUAUGCCUUACCUCUUUUGUUUAUUUUGAUGAUGUAACUAAGUCCCCAGUUUCUAUAAUGGGGCAUCUGUUUUUUCAAAAGAUAAAUGUAUUGUAAUAGCUAUUUUUUCCUUAGAUUUUUAUGUUGAGAAGCUUGUAUAAUACUUCUUUAUUUUAUCCUUGUCUAUUCACUGUUCUAGAAUUUUGCAGAAUAAUUUUAUUUUUACCUUACUCUUGCCUAUUUUUCUUUUUAGGACUUAGAGAAUAAAUUACCAUUUUUAUCCUUUUCAGAAAAUGCUUUCAUAAUUAUUCUCAUAUGUUAUCAUCAUGAGGAAAAAUAAAAGAGGGCCCUUUUAUUUAUCGACACUUAAUGAAGAAAGACGUCUCAACUUCAUAAUGGUGUUAUCAUACAAUGAAAGAAAUAGGAACAUACAUGUUUCGUAUAAAACAACUUUUGUAAAGUUUUUUUUCAUGAAAUUUGAUAAGUUUCUUGAGUAUUACAUGUAUUAAAGCACAUCUACAACUUUCUCGCAACUGUUUUCUUUUAGCAGAUAUACAAAAUAUACAAGGUAAGGUUUUUCAUAACAUGUUUCUGAUAAUUGGUCAUGUCCCUGCCUUUACAUACUAUAGGAAGGGUUUAUGCAGUGACUUCAUUGUUCUAAGAAAGAAAAAACACUAUGAUGAGUGCUUUUAGAUUGAUACUUGAAUUCUCGUAAUUUGAUUUGAUUUGUAAAUCUUGAAUUUUCUCUCUCGUAUCUAUUUCUGCACAUACUCGUGUGUAUAUAGUAUAGUCCCCCAAGUGUUUGAGCGGUAAAGUAUGAAGCCUCGAACACUUGUGUAUUUGCUCCCAAUUUUUGGUCCUUUUUGUGAAACAGAAAAAUAUACGGGACUCGGAAGUGUGAUUAUAUGUGAAGACUGCCUAACCCGUGUGUAUUUCUAUCAGAUUAAUGUAACCCUGGGCUAGAAAUUUAAUAGUAUUCCAAUUUGUCGUGCAGGUCGUGACUCAUCAUUUGGCACGAGUUAGGGUUUUUGCCUACCAUCUAAAAUUGUUAGUAUAAUUUUAACAAUUCAAAAGAAAAAAUUUAGCAUUGUGAUACCUGAACGUGGGUACUUCUUUAGAAGUAAUACCUCUUUAAAUGAACGGCAUUCCAAUGCGAAGGUAAAACCCUGCCAUCUAUUGUUUCUAGCUCGUAUGCUCCUUUCCCCGCAAUUUCACGAAUUCGAUAAGGUCCUUCCCAUGUUGGACUUAGCUUUCCUGUAUUUGCUGACUUCGUAGAUUGGAAAACAUUUUCAACACAAAGUACCCAACUUUAAAAAACCUGAGGCGUGCUUUCCUAUCGUAAUAUCUCUCAAUUACUUGCUUUUGAGCCGUCAUCCAAUUGGAAAACUUUUUUCAACACGAAGUCCCCAACUUUUAAUAACCUGAGGCGUGCUUUCCUAUUGUAAUAUCGCUCAAUUACUUGCUUUUGAGCCGCCAUCCUUAUCAAUGCAGCUUCUCUUCUCCCUUCAAUUAAAUCAAGAUUUACUAGUAACUCUUCGUUGUUUGAGUUUUUCUCUGCUUGAACACGUCGUAUACUAGGUUCACCUAUCUCAACUGGUAUCAAAGCUUCCGCACCAUAAACCAUUGAAAAUGGUGUUUCUCCUGUACUUGUUUUUGCCGUCGUNNNNNNNNNNNNNNNNNNNNNNNNNNNNNNNNNNNNNNNNNNNNNNNNNNNNNNNNNNNNNNNNNNNNNNNNNNGUUUGUUCGAUAUGCCCAUAACACCGCUGGUAAUACUUCAGGCCAAUUGCCUUUUGAUUCUUGUAACAUUUUCUUUAGACUGUUGAUAAUUACUUUGUUUGUAGACUCUGCUAGCCCAUUACCGACUGGAUGAUACGGUGUUGAUGUAAUUCUUUUCAUUUGCCAACUUUGAAAGAAUUCUGUGAUUUGAGCCCUUAUAAAUUGUGGUCCAUUAUCACACACUAUCUCCUUUGGAACACCAAAGCGGCAAAUUAUAUUNNNNNNNNNNNNNNNNNNNNNNNNNNNNNNNNNNNNNNNNNNNNNNNNNNNNNNNNNNNNGGAACACCAAAGCGGCAAAUUAUAUUUCUCCAAAUGAAGUCCUUAACUUCUUUCUCUCGUACCUGUUUAAACGCUCCUGCUUCUACCCAUUUAGUUAAAUAAUCAGUAAGUACAAAUAGAAACUUUACCUGACCUUUUUCCUAAGGUAAUGGUCCUACGAUGUCCAUUCCCCAUUUCAUGAAGGACGACGGAGCUAUGACAGGAUGUAAUAACUCAGCUAGUCUAUGCAUGUUAUUUCCAUACCUUUGACAUUUAUCACACUUAGAUACGAAAUCAUUCUCUUCUUCUUCCUUUUUAGGCCAGCAAUAUCCCGCUCGAAUCAAUGUUUUUACAAGUGAUCUGCCUCCUGCAUGAUUUCCACAAUGCCCCCUCAUGUACUUCUCUCAUCACAUAUUCUGUUUGAGAAGGUCCAAGACACCGGGCUAAUGGUCCACCAAAUAGUUUAGGGUAAAGGUUUCCUUGAUAUAGGCAGUAACAAGCGGCUUUCUUUCUUAGUGAAUGAGCCUUCAUUUUGUCUUCAGGUACGAUUCCGUGCUGCAAAAAAGACACGAUUUUGUUUCUCCAAUCCCAAGUUAAGUGAUUAAAGUUUACCUCAUAUUUAUCAGGGUCAAGAACGGAUUGUAACAAAUGUAUGAUUGAAGCAUUUGGAUCUUUUGCUAUAUCUGCUGCAGAUGCGAGAUUAGCCAAAGCAUCCGCUUCCAAAUUUUCUUCUCUUGGAAUUUGUAUCACGUUCCCUUUUAUAUCUGCUACAGAUGCGAGGUUGCCUAAGGCGUCUUCUUCCAAAUUCUCUUCUCUUGGGAUUUGCAUCACCUUCCAAGUUUGGAACUGUUUUAUUAAAUCUCGUACCUUUUCGAGAUACUCUUGCAUUCGAGUUUCUCUUGCCACGUAAGUCCCCAGUAUUUGAUUGACUACGAGUUGUGAAUCGCUUUUGAUUACGAUUUGCAUGAUACCAAGUUCUAAUGCUAACUCCAAACCUACAAUCACAGCUUCAUACUGUGCUUCGUUUUUGAUUACGAUUUGCAUGAUACCAAGUUCUAAUGUUAGGUCCAACCCUGCAGUCACAGCUUCAUACUCUACUUCGUUAUUGGUUACAGGGUGACACUUUAUAGCUUGUAUAAUCGUUUCACCCGUAGGUGGUAUAAGAACAAUUCCUAAACCUGCCCCUUUUACAUUAGAUGAACUAUUAGUGAAUAAUAGCCAAGUCCCCGGAUUAGCACCAUUAAAAACUUGUAAUUCUUUUUCUGCUUCUAAGUGUAUGCUUUGACUAAAAUCUACUAUGAAUAAUAGCCAAGUCCCCGGAUUAGCACCAUUAAAAACUUGUAAUUCUUUUUCUGCUUCUAAGUGUAUGCUUUGACUAAAAUCAGCUACAAAAUCGGCGAGUACUUGAGAUUUAGUAGCAGUUCGAGGUUGGUAAAUUAUCUUGUACUCACUUAGUUCUACAGUCCAUUUUGCUAAUCUCCCGAUAGUUCAUGUUUAUGCAAUAUAUUUCGUAAAGAAAAAUCAAUAAUAACAACAAUAGGAAGUCAUUGAAAAUAAGGUCGUAGUUUUCUAGAUGCCAUGAUGAGAGCUAAUGCUAAUUUUUCUAGUUGUGGAUACCUUGUCUCUGCAUCUAAUAGAGUUUUAAUCAAAUAAUAAAUUGAGGAUUGCUUACCUUGGUCUUCACGCACUAAAACGGCACUUACCGCUACUUCUGAUACUGCUAGAUAAAUGACGUAGCUUUUCACCUUCUUUAGGUUUUGCCAGUAAAUGAGGAUUUGACAAAUAAACUUUCAAGUCCUUCAGGGCUCGUUGAAAAUCUUCAUUCCACUCAAAAUGAUCUUGCUUUUUGAGCGCAGAGAAACAUUUGAAGCAUUUUUCUGAAGAUUUUGAAAUAAAUCUCCCUAAGGUCGUUAUCCUUCCUGUUAACCUCUUAACUUCCUUUUUACUAGUAAGGACAUUAGGUAUUUCUUCAAUUGCUUUAAUCUAGGAAUGAUUUACUUCAAUUCCACGGUUAGAGACAAGAAAGCCUAAAAAAUUUCCAGAAGCAACUCCAAAUGCACAUUUUUUAGGAUUGAGUUUCAUAUUGAAUUUUUGCAAAAUUUCAUAGGUAACAGUUAAAUGGGAAAUAUGGUCAUAGGAAUGUUGGGUUUUGAUGAGCAUGUCGUCUAUACAUACCUCCAUUGUUUUUCCCAAAUGUUCUUGAAACAUUUUGGUGACUAACCUUUGAUAAGUUGCUCCAACAUUUUUUAGACCGAAGGGCAUUACUUUGUAAUAGUAAGUCCCCCGGUCUGUGAUGAAGGAAGUCUUUUCCUCAUCACCGUGAUCCAUUUUAAUUUGGUUGUACCUGUAACAGUAAAUUCCCCGGUCUGUGAUGAAAGAAGUCUUUUCCUCAUCACCAGGGUCCAUUUUAAUUUGGUUGUACACCGAAUAUGCAUCUAAAACUUUUAAAAGUUCAUGACCUGCAGUUGCAUCAACCAAUUGAUUAUAUGGGGUAAAGGAAAAGAAUCUUUUGGGAAAGCUUUGUUUAGAUCAUGUAAUGUACACAAACUCGCCACUUACCAUUCUUUUUAGGUACGACCAUCGUGUUAGCUAACCAAUGAGGAUAUUUUACCUCACGAAUUGACCCGAUUUCAACAACUUUUGGACCUCAUCUUGGAUUACUUGAUUUUUGAAAGCUCCUUACUUUCUUUUCUUUUGCUUAAUCGGAGUGAAAGAUGGGUCUUCGUUAAGCUUAUGAGUCAUCAUAUCCGAUGGAAUACCUGUCUUAAUCGGAGUGAAAGAUGUGUCUUCGUUAAGCUUAUGAGUCAUCACAUCCGGUGGAAUACCUGUCAUCAUCAUGGGACUAGGCAAAACAAUCUACAUUAGAUUUUAAAAAUUCAAUUAACAUACCUCGCAUGUCGGGAUUUAGAUUAGCUCCUACGUAAAAAAAAGUUAUCUGGCCAUUGUUCAAAUAAUAACACCGGCUCGAGUUCUUCUAUUGUCGUUUUAAUAUUCUCGUUUUCUUCAGGUUAUUGAAUUACAUCGGGCCUCAAAUCUAUAUCUGUUGUUUCAUUUGAAGUUUGGUUACUGACACCUUCAACUAUUUCCAGUAAUUACUAUUUCUCUUUACUUGCGAUGCUCGUAUCUGUUAUUGCGUUGAUACUCUUGGCUACUUGUUGAUCCCCUCGAAUUUGACAUAUUCCCCAGGGUGAUGGAAAUUUAAUGACUUGAUGUAANNNNNNNNNNNNNNNNNNNNNNNNNNNNNNNNNNNNNNNNNNNNNNNNNNNNNNNNNNNNNNNNNNNNNNNNNNNNNNNNNNNNNNNNNNNNNNNNNNNNNNAACAACAUCCAUAUCAUGGAUCCAACUUGAUGUAAAGUUGAUGGAACAACAUCCAUAUCAUGGAUCCAAGGUCUCCCCAUGAUUAUAUUGUAUGCCAUUUCCAAGUCAACUACCUGAAAUUUAGUUUCUUUAUUAACACCUGCAGCACAAGUUGUCAAAGUUACCUCACCUUUUGUUACCACGCUUGAAUUGUCAAAGCCUGACAAUGCAUGCACCUUUAGUAUCAUUUUAUCUUCAGCUUGCAUUUCCCCCAGUACUCUUAGUAGAAUGAUAUUUACAAAGCUACCUGGAUCAAUCAAAAAUCUUUUUACAUCAGUGCCAUAUAUAAAUAAAGAUAUUACCAGAGCGUCAUUAUGAGGGGUAAUCACUCAUUCCGUAUCUGCAUCAUUGAAGCUUAUACUUUCAUUUUCUAAGGUUUGCCGUACUCUCUUGUCGUGUGUGAUUGUUAUUUUGGAAACUUUGUUUGAAGCCGUGUACGUUACUCCGUAUAUAUCUUCCCCUCCAUUGAUGACAUUUAUUACCCUCUUAGGUGAAGGUGGUUUCGGUGGCUCUUACCUAUUUUUCAUGUAGGCUUGCUUUCCCUUUUCACUAAACAGCUCCGUGAGAUAUCCUUGCUUCAAUAAAUGGUCUACCUCACUCUGUAGAAAUCUGCAUUCUGAGGUUUUAUGCCCAUGGUCGUUGUGAAAUUCGCACCAAUGGUCUGGGUUACGUCUGUUUGGAUUCGACCGCAUCUUUUUGGUCCACCGUACCUUAUCUCCCAUACUCUUUAGAACAGCUACGAGCUCGGAAUUAGUUGCUUCAAAAUUAUGACCAGCAAAUCGUGCCAUUAAAUUCCUAUCGUUAUCUCGUGACUCUUGGUUGUUUCGAUCGCCUCUGAACCUGGAUGAAGGUAUGGUUCCCCUGUCUCUCGCCCUUUGAUCAUAAUGUUUAUUAUUCUGUCUAGAACAUGGGUCUUUUCCUGCAGGUCCCAUAUAUGUAUCGUACCUGUUCUUACCUGACCUUUUGUCGUUUCAGAUCUUCUAGACCCGCUUCUCUCUUCUCGUUGAGGUUGAGAUACUGUAUCUUCUUCAAUUCUUAGCUUCGUACUGUACCUGUUAUAAAAAUCGUUCCAAGUAGUUGCGGGAAAUUCACGAAGGCUUUCAUUAAGUCUUCUCGUGGAUUCUGAACUUUUAUCAUUCAAAUUACUGGCAAAAGCUAUUGCAUCCCAAUUAUCCGGUACACGGGGCAGCAUCAUUCUUUCACGUUGGAAUCUAUCAACGAAAUCUCUGAUCAAUUCUCUAUUUUAAUUUGAUUCAUUCUUUCACGUUGGAAUCUAUCAACGAAAUCUCUGAGCAAUUCAGUGUUCCCUUGUUUGAUUUUGAAGAUAUCCCCAUUCUUUUCUCCACCUUCUGAGCUCCCGAGUAUGCUUUUAUGAAAGAAUCUGCGAGCUCAGCAAAAGAAUUUAUAGAAUUUUCAGGUAAAAGAGAAUACCAGGUUAAUUCUCCCUUGGUGAGUGUCUCUCCAAACUUUUUAACCAAUACUGAUUCAAUUUCUUGUUUGGUUAAAUUGUUGCCUGUCACUCCUAUUGUAAAUGCAGUUACAUAGUGAGGAGAAAUCCUGAUGCCCCGGUGAGAAGUUGAGAGCGGUUGGCGAUUGUCGGCGUUCGGCGAGGCAGAGGGAGGACUAAGAGGUAUUGGGGAGAGGUGAUUAGGCAUGACAUGCCUAGAUUCAUAUUUUGGGAUGUCAGGCAUUUUGAAUUUCUUUGGAAUUGGUAAAGGAGCAGCACUUGAUUUCCACGGUUGUUGUGAAUACUUAUCCACAUCCACUCCUUUUAUCACAGGUGGAACUCCGGGGAUUUGCUCGAUUCGUUCGUUCUGCUCCUUGAGUUGUUUCUGCAAGGUUAAUACCAAAUUUUAAAGAUGUGAAUUACCUACAUUACCUGGCUCUCCAUCUUGGUAGUCACUAGGAGUUGCUCCAUUGCUAGAAUCAACUAGACCAGAGCGAGGGUUUUCUAACGUGUUGUUGUUUGGUGUUGCUGGUGCAACAGGCAAUUCACUAACUAGGCUCGCAAAGCUUUUUCAAUCCGUGAGUCGAUUAUUUUCUUUAAAAGGCUAUCUCUUUUUUCAGCUCCUCCAUCAACAUGUUCAAACAUAUCAUUUGGAGUUCCUUCACGAGAUCCACGUGGAGAAGUUUGAAGGUUAGCGUUGUUGCAUUUGAUUGAGAUCCAUCAGGAGUUCCUUCCCAAGAUUGUCGAGGAGAGCUUAGUGGGGAAGGGACCAGGUUACGAUCAUCUUGUGGAUUCUCCUAGAGUUGAUAGAUUCUUUGGUUGUUCUCAUAAACAUUUGACAUGGUUGAUAUGACAAAAAGGGUCAAUUCAGAAUAGAUUAUCAGAUUCCCAGCAACGGAACCAAUUUGUUUAACCAAAAAAUGUAAUUUGGUCAAAACUUGAAUUUUAGAGAGAAGAAAUGGGGUUACUGGUAAUUAAAGAGACCGAAAUAUAAUUGGCUUUCAAAGAAUAAAAAUAAAGUAAUAAGAACUUAUUAUUUCAAUAUGAUAUCAAGAGUGUACUGUGUGUCUACAAAUGAUAAAUCUUCCUCCUUUUAUAGUUGACAAGGAGUAACGGAUUAAUCUAAAUAAUAAAGGAGCAUUUAAUGAGACAUUACAUAAUCAUUGCUAUUUAAUACUGAAUAACUAACGCAUCAGGUAUUUAAUAAUGAAUAUAGACUACUUUUUGUCAUCAAAUUCGUGUCUUCAAUGCCCUUUUUAUCCGUUGAUAUUGAAUGACUUGAAUAGAUAAAUACUCGUAUCUAAGAUUCCCUCUCGUGUCUGUUUUCUUUUCCUUCACCAUGUCUGUUGUCUUCCAUGCCUUCUAAUCAUUUAUUGUUCUUUAACUUUUUGACCAAUCCAUGUGUCAUGCCAUGUCAUCUUUAAUUCGAACUCAGUUUUUUUCCAAUACAGAUAGUCCCCCCACUUCUCAUUGCCACGUCAUCUUUAAUUCAAACUUAAUUUUUCCCCAAUACAACUGGGAAAAAGCUAAAAAGAGCUUAAAAAUUUAUUUGACCAGCUUAAAAGCCAAUCCAAAUACCCUCUUAAUUGUUUUUCCGGUUUAUAUCGUACCUAUGAGCGGAUUAUGAAGUGCCCAUGAGUGAUAUUACUUUUUGUAGUCUAAUCGCUCCUUUACUAAAUGCAAUAUAGGGUAAACUUUUAUUUGUAUUUGUUUGGUCUGGGGUAAACAAGUGCACAACUAGAAAACUGAUUCAGGCUCAAUUGUAGGAAACAGUUCCACCAGUAGUGUAUGAUUCAUUAAUAAAAUACUACUACUGCUACUUUCAAUCAGCAAGAAAAUAGUAAAGUGGUUAACUAGUACAAAUAAUCAAUCAUCUCAAAAACACUCUUCUCCAUAGCUAAUAUACUGAUUACAAUUUUGCAUUCCACUUGCUACACUAUACUCAUCCAACUUAUUUGUUUUUCUUCACUUCUUCAUGUUCAAGACUUUGAUGCCCUCAGUAAACGUAUCCCUUAACGAACAUUCCUUGUUUAGCUUCAUCUGAUUCGCCUUCGCCAGUGUACUUGCCAAGUUGAGCAAGAGAGUUGGCCUUAGCUCUAACCAGCAACGCGUCCUGAGCAGCCUUUACGUUCUCAGGAAGUCCGCCCCAUGUCUUCAAGCAAGUGUUUUGAAGAGCCCUCGCGUAUGAGAAAGAUACGUGCCACGGGUUUGGAGCUUGGUUCAUGGCAUUCAAGUUGUAUGUAGCCUCAACUUCUGAUUGUCCACCAGAUAAGAACUGUUCAAAUGCCAACAAACAUUGAACUAAUUAGCAUGAGUUUAAUAAUCUCCUAACCUUUUUAUGUUUCUUGUCACCUCAAAAGUUUCCUCGUUUUUCCCUCUAUUUACAGCCUAUACAGUAUGCACUAACAAUAAGUUGAAACUUUCUAGUGAAUAGUCACUAAGAAUUUCUUGGUACUACAAUCCCAAACAACAUUGAACUAAUUAGCAAUGAGUUGAGUUAUCUCCCACUUUUGUUUAAAAGUUUAUGUUGUUUUGUCACCUCAAAAAUUAACUCAUUUUUCCCUCUAUUUAGAGCCUAUACAAUAUGUACUAACAGUGUAUUGAAACUUUCUGGUGAUAAAAAAGGGCAGCCCGGUAAACUAAGCUCCCUCUACGCGCGGGGUCCGGGGAGAUCCGGAUCACAAGGGUCUAUUGUACGCAGCCUUAUCCUGCAUCUGCAAGAGGCUGUUUCCGUGGCUCAAACUCGUAACCUCCUGGUCAUAUGGCAGCAGCUUUAUCAGUUACGCCAAGGCUUCCCUUCAAACUUUCUAGUGAUAGUCACUAAGAAUUUUUCGGAACUGGCUCAAUUAGACAUCCCAAAGCGUAGGUUUCAAUGGUUCUUAAUGUAAUUUUUAUAUGCUUUUUGCUUUUUUGGUAACUCUACGAGUUUAACUUCUAUAUAAAAUAUUUUUUUGAUACCAAGUCAUCUACUUAAAAUAUAACUACAUGUAACUGAUCAUAAUAAGUGGAACUAGUUACCUUAAAAUAAGGCAGACAACUUGCCAUAACAGAUUAAAUUAAACUAAUAGCAUAAAAUCGUACUCUAGCAUAUUCAGAAAGUCUUCUGCUAGUUGACAAGCUUUCUUUUCCUGUUAUCAGUAUUAAAAACUGCAAAAUCAAUACAUUUUUUAUGUCUUUAGCAACUCAUAUCUUAUGGGCUGGAGGGGCUAAGAAGAGGUAGAGGUAAGCCGAAGAAUAACUGGGAAGAGGUAAUUAGGCAAGAAAUGACGUUACUUCAGCUUAUCGAGGACAUGACCCUUGAUAGGAGGGUGUGGAGGUCGAGAAUCAAGGUAAAAAGCUAGUAGGCAGUCGUGAGUAUUAGUGUUAGUCUUGUAUCCUAUUAUUGUUAGUUUUUAGUAUUACUUGUUAUUCCUUUCGUUUCGUUUUAUUACUAUCUUCUUGUUGUUAUUACUCGGUACUAUUGCUUUUCUUCUCGUCUUUCAUGAGCCGAGGGUCAAUCGAGAACAGUCUCUCUAUCUUUGGGGUAAGGUCUGCAUAUAUAAUACCCUCCCCAGACCCCACUUGUGGGAUUACACUGGAUUUUUUGUUGUUGUUUAGCAACUCAUGUAGAAUUUGAGAUUUAGUGGAACUGUAAAAUUGAGAAGGAAACUUGCCAUGAUUCCAGGGACAGCAGGGGGAAUUCUUUGGCGGGGGAGCUUGAGAGUAUAAUCAGCAACUUGCUCAGGGAUUGCCCUGUCUUUGCAUUCAGCACCAGGAGUGACCAUACUCAGCUUGAGGAGGAUACCCUCAAACAUGACAUUGUUCUCGGCGAGGUAAAAGAAGACCUCGGCCCAAACCUGUUGUGCAACCUCAAGAGUCCUGUCAAUGCCAUGUUCACCAUCCAACAAUAUUUCAGGCUACACAAUUGGGACCAAACCGCUGUCCUGAGCAAUGGCAGCAUAGCGAGUCAAACCCCCCGCUGCUUCCUUCACUGCCAAUGCAGAUGGUCCGUUGGGAAUGCUCACCACUGUACGCCUGAAAUACCAAAAACAUUGAGCAUAUAUCAUCAAAGUGCACAGGUUUGCCCUUUUUUAUUGAAGUUACUCAGAUUUCAUAAUAUUUUACCAUUUGGCAAAGCGAGCUCCUUGUUGUUAGUAUGCAGCAGUACGAGAGGCAAGGCUGUCUAGACCUUGGCACCAUGACUCAUCAUUUGAACCAGCAAGAGGAACUAAACCCUGUUUCAAUCAAGUCAUAAGAUGAUCAGGAACGUAAUUUGAUUUCUUUUGAUCAUUAAAAACAACAUUUUCAAGCUCAACUUAUAUCAGCCCGAUUAGCUCUUGUUCGCUCUUGCUUUAUAACAGAUGUACUUUGAACCAAAUUUCAAAACAUAGUUGAACACAAUGUUCUUUUAUUCGUCUAGCCUCCAACCAAAGGCGGACACAGAAUCUUAAAUCAUCGGCUGCAAAGUAUCCUUUGCAUCGACUACUUUUCGUUGUACUGAUUCUACAACGAUUUACAAUAAAUAUAUAAUUCCCAAAAGUGUUGCAUUUCAAAUAUACCUUGUCAAUACCAGGAACAAUAUUUUGUUCAACAAGGACAUCAACCAUUUUGAGUCCAUCAAUCGUGGAUUGGUAGAGAGUCUCCUCAAAAAGAAUGGCACCAGAUACGUACUGUCCAAGACCUGGAGCUGUUAUAAGCAAAGUUCUAUAAGCUUGACGGUUAGCCUCAGUGUUCUCUAACCCAAUGGAAGCCAAACGCUUUCUGCAAGUGGCAUUUGACUCGUCCAUCACCAAUAUUCCACGCCCUGGUGAUGCAAUAGUUUUCUGCACAGUUAACAUAAACACUUCAUUGUCACAUUGAUCUCUCAUUUGCCUUUUCCUCUCACUUAAUAAAUAUUUUUGAAAAAAACUAAGAAGUGCCUAAAACUAUCUGCUAAAUCUACUGAUGAAGAUUUAAGUCACGGUAAUUAACUAUUCAAAAUGUAUUAUAAGUCACAGUAAUUAACUAUUCAAAAUGUUUAAAAAACAUAUGAGAAUAUUGCAGUCAAAGAAAACACUCAUUUGACUCUCGUCCGAAUGGUGCCAGGUAUAUUGGGAUAGAGGGAGAAUGGAUUUAACUUAUAUACAUUGAUAGCGAAACCCAUUUCUACACUAUCAGCAUAUUCUUUUUAACUAGUUAUAACACGUUAUUACUUCAUCUUUGAGGUCAUCAAAUUUGGAUUAUUAUUGUUUACCAGAGAUGGAUCCAGGAUAUAAUGUUUACGGGUUUCUGCAACGACCUCGAGUAAAUUUUCAAUAGCUACUGAGUUUGCAUUCAAAUAUCUAUAAUGUUUAGUGAAUUUUCGAACACAUUUACACUGUUUGAACAAAAGCUACUGAAUUCACAUGAACCCGUAAGUCGCAAGGUGGAUCCGCCCAUGUCGGUGGCUACACAAUAUUGUAGGUUAUAUAACAUGUUAAUGUGCAUACAUUUUACACUAUCAGUGCACAAAAGUUAAACUCAUUAUUAAUAGACGAAUGAAACUUACCGCGGUCUUAGCGAGCUCAUCCGCAUAGGAAGAAGCAGCGCGGACAGUGAGACAAGGGGCGGCUGUAGGGUGGCAACGGAUUACUGAGACGGAAGAUUGGCGAAGAGUUUGUCCCUUAACGAAUUCAGACUUGUCAAGAACAGGAGAUGACUUUAGCAGAGAUGCUGAGGCCAUUUUCUUGAUCUUUUUCUUUUCCUCAAAGUAAGAAUACCUUAUCUCAGCUUUCUCCUUAUGUCUCUCCUUUGCUACAAACAAAGUUCUCAAGCAGUUCCAAAUUUAUAGCUGUUGCUAAUACUGCAACGAGAAAACCAAAAUGAAGAUAUCUCAUUUGAGGUUGUCAUGCUCUGAACAAUGUGGGGGUCUAUUUGGAAACAGCCUCUCUACCCCAAGGUAGGGGUAAGGUCUGCGUACAUACUACCCUCCCCAGACCUCACUAAGUGGGAUUAUACUGGGUUGUUGUUGUUGUUGUUGUAUGCUCUGAACAAUGUACACUAGACAUGUAGACAUGAUUUUUCCUUUUUGGUGUAGUACAAGUGGUUAAAAUAUAUGGAAUUAUUUCCACCUUACAAUAGAAUUUCCACUAUGUUAUCAUAUGGACCUUUCAAGUCAUUAAAACUGAAAAAAAAUUCUUGCUUUUUUUGAGUUAUGUGAGAAUUGAAAGCGACAGUACAAUCAUGAUAUACUAGAGUACAAUUAAGUUGGUUUGCUCAAAGCAACACCGUGCCCAAACGUGAGGCUAUAAUUAGCAGUCCUCUAUUGGGGCCGCCCUACGCUGUAUGCAGUGCCGAAGCCAGAAAUUUACUCAAGGGUAUUCCAACUUGAAAGAAGUAAAAAAACUUCUCCGAAAAAAAGUGUUCAAAUAUUAGAUAACUCUAAAAUCUAAUAUUUUACCUAUAUACUCAGUGUAAUUUUCCGAUAAAGAGUGGUCAUUGACCAGUUUUUUUAGCAUGUAGCUUUGCCCAUAGCUGUGUGGCUUGGUGACAUCUCUCUUUUUGUUGGCAUCUCCUGUAAUAGCGUAAUUAAUGGUUAUGGCUUUGUUUCAGCAGUUCAUCUUUUCUUGAGCCAAGGAUCUAUAAAAAAACAGCCCCUAUAUAUUCUCGAAGUAGGGGUAAGAUCGGCGUACACAAUAUACUCUCCAGAUUCCAUUUGUAGGAUUAUACUGAAAUUGUUGUUAUUGUUGGUUCUGUAUCAGUAGUGACUAAUCCUUAAGGGUUUGUGAGUUCGACAAGAAUGAUGUAGUUACAUGAGAAAGAAAAAAAUAAGUAUAGCUAGAAAUAUACAUUAUAUAACGCUCUCAACCAAGAAUUCAUGUGUCCAAAUUCUAGACCGCCGUCGAAUUUAGGACAUGGCUUGUCUAAAUUUCAUGUUCCAUCCAGUUACUGCUCAUAUUUCUAGUACAAAUACCUACACUUAUGCAACAAAAUAAAUAAAUAAAAAAUAAUAAUAAAAAUCCUCUAUAAUUCUUGUUAGCUUGCUUAAUUAAUUCGUUUGAGUAAAUCUCGUCUUCAGUUUGUUCCUCUUUCCUUUCAUCCAUAACCAUUAGCGAAAUAAAUUGUCAAAUUGGCCAUCUUUGCUCCUCUAGCCCUUUAUCCCAUGCUAUCACAAUUCAAUUUACUAUGUUCCAGUUUCUCCACCAAUAAAAAAAAUUACGAAUCACUGGCGCAAGCAAGGUGCAGAACUCUCAAUAGCUAACCGUCUUCGCCAGAAACACUAGCAAAAUAUAGGUCACGGGGAUUCGAGCCAUGAAAUUAACCAAUGAUACUUGCAUCGGCUACAUCACCCUUUAGGGUGUCACCCUUAUCCAUACCCUUUGUGAAUGCAAAAUAUUUUGUAUACCGUAUUGUCUAUUUAAUCUUAGUCUUAACUAGUAGUGCCCUAGGGAUGACCACUCGAAACAUAGUAGUGACAGUUGGAAGACGAUACUUCAGUAAAUCGCACCAAUUCGUAGCACAUCAAUAAGAAGUAAAUCACUAGGAGUAUCAUAUUUGUACUACUUAUGUUAACAACAAGAAACAGCUACUUUUGAGAAAUUACCUCAAAAGAUUCUAGCAUGACUCAACAGUGCACUCCUAGGUGAAUAAGCAAUAACCUCCAACAAGGUCACACCAGCAAAUCACUCGAGAGUUAAUGAUAUCCUGACCAAAAAUAACCAGCAAGAGGCUAAAACUAAAUCCAGGGCUGUCUGACGUAAAUAUUAACAGCACAGAUACCAAGAAAAACCAAUAUGUUCGUUGCCCUCAUCCUUGCAUUGGCUACCAGAAUCACCAUAUAAAAAUGCGCCUCGCUAUAGUUUACAUCAAUCCAUGUUCUAAAUAAUAGUUUCAUCAUAUCCAUUCAAAAGAUAUAAAGCACAAAUCAAAAUAACUAGUUCCCAAAAUUCCGAUAUUCUAAAGUAAAUGUCAAUCCCAAUUCAAAGAGGGAAGAAGAACAAGAUAUCAUCAAUAGUCACCCUAUUGAUAUGGCAUGUCUUUUAUCAGUCAUGUUGGGAAAUACUCCCAAUUCAAAGAGGGAAGAAGAACAAGAUAUCAUCAAUAGUCACCCUAUUGAUAUGGCAUGUCUUUUAUCAGUCAGUACCUCCUAGGAAAACGGUCCAUAAACCUUCCAGGGGGAUGGUCCAUAAACCUUCCCGGAGG
rnacentral:lncRNA from 1 species